rnacentral:rRNA from 1 species
UACGUAGGGUGCAAGCGUUAAUCGGAAUUACUGGGCGUAAAGCGUGCGCAGGCGGUUUUGUAAGUCUGUCGUGAAAGCCCCGGGCUCAACCUGGGAAUUGCGUUGGAGACUGCAAGGCUUGAAUCUGGUAGAGGGGGGUAGAAUUCCACGUGUAGCAGUGAAAUGCGUAGAGAUGUGGAGGAACACCGAUGGCGAAGGCAGCCCCCUGGGUCAAGAUUGACGCUCAUGCACGAAAGCGUGGGGAGCAAACAGG